AAAUAGAUACCCCGGGUAGUCCACGCCGUAAACGAUGAGUGCUAAGUGUUAGAGGGUUUCCGCCCUUUAGUGCUGCAGCAAACGCAUUAAGCACUCCGCCUGGGGAGUACGGUCGCAAGACUGAGACUCAAAGGAAUUGACGGGGGCCCGCACAAGCGGUGGAGCAUGUGGUUUAAUUCGAAGCAACGCGAAGAACCUUACCAGGUCUUGACAUCCUCUGACAACCCUAGAGAUAGGGCUUCCCCUUCGGGGGCAGAGUGACAGGUGGUGCAUGGUUGUCGUCAGCUCGUGUCGUGAGAUGUUGGGUUAAGUCCCGCAACGAGCGCAACCCUUGAUCUUAGUUGCCAGCAUUCAGUUGGGCACUCUAAGGUGACUGCCGGUGACAAACCGGAGGAAGGUGGGGAUGACGUCAAAUCAUCAUGCCCCCUAUGACCUGGGCUACACACGUGCUACAAUGGGCAGAACAAAGGGCAGCGAAGCCGCGAGGCUAAGCCAAUCCCACAAAACCAUUCUCAGUUCGGAUUGC
rnacentral:rRNA from 1 species